UUUUAAAUUGCUGUAGUAAUAUAACUAUACGAAGGUAUUGAAAUAAGAUUUUAAAUGAGUGCUAAGAGAAUGGAUGAAUGUAUAUAGAUUGUUUUUUUUUAAAAAUUAAAAAUUAAUUUAAAAAUGAAAAAGUUUUUAUAUAGUAGUGGGACAAGAAGACCCUAUGAAUCUUAAUUAUUUUUAAAAUUAAAAAUUAUCUUAAAAAUAAUUUAAUUGGGGCGAUUAAAAAAGAAUAUUUAUCUUUAUUUUGAAUUUAUUUUUUAAAUAUAGGAAAAGAUACUCUAGGGAUAACAGCGUUAUUAUUUUGGAUAGUUCAUAUUGAUAAAAUAGUUUGCGACCUCGAUGUUGAAUUAAUGAACCUUUUAAAUGAAGUUAUUUAGAAAGGUAG
rnacentral:rRNA from 1 species